AUAAAUAAAUAAAGCUGGGAAAAAAAAAAGAAAACAUAUUGUGGAAUGGAAUUUUUCAGCCCACACCUGGAAAUUUCAUUGUGCUGAGUUCCAAACUUCAGAGCGUGAGCCAUGACAAAGGAGAGACUGGCCCCUGUCCUCACCACUUGCCUUCUGCUGCAUUUAUACAGUGAAAGGUGCUAAGAGGAGCAGUGCAGGAUGGAUGCAGCGAAACUCAAACAUCAGCUGAAAGUUGGAACAGAGGGAGAGAAAGACAUUGGCACAGUAAGUCCAGUGCAGAUUAGAGCUAAUGGGAACUAAAGGAAACAGUGAGUGCAAGUGCAAGCAGGGAAAGGAAAAGGAAAGGCAUGGGGGGAAGAUGCAACAGAAGACGAGAACUUAGAACUGGCAGCUGAACAACAGCAGGGUGAUCCAAACAAGAAGAGCUAGAAUGAACUUAUUGGAGACAAAGUGCCUCAUCAUAAAAGGAGCAAUACUGAGACCAAAAGGAAAUUGCUCACUGACCAGAUCUCUUGCCUGUGAAUUUAACUUUCGGAAUGGCUGGAAGAACAACAAAUCAGAGAACAAUGUCACUGAAAAUGGCAUUUACAGUGGCUGAGAUGCAGUGGCAUGGGCAACUUUAAUAUUUUGUAACUUUGAAAUGCUUUGGCUUUGAAACUAAUAUUUCUUCCUUGUUGCUUGUUGUGCAUUAUGCAAGCUUAUUUCAUCCUAACAAUUAACUCAUUGAGGCAGAGAUUGCUUUUUUGCCCUGUUUUUGCACAUCACUUGCUUAAAGUGUUGUGGUUCAUGACUAGUGCCGUUACAUGUCAUAUUAAUGCAGAUAGGAAAUAGUAUGCUGGUAGAGAUCUAUAAUAAAAGCUAAAUGUGAAUUCUAACAGUGGAGGAAAAUGGUUUGCUACAAAACACUGGGAAAUUAUUAGAUGCACCAGGCAAAAAUAACAAGUGGAAAAUUGGAGGUGAGUACCAACGAAUGGUUCUAUAAGUGGUUAGGUGAGGCUGUUGGGCAGCCCACUGUGAAAGCAGCAGAAGCCCCUCAGCUGGGACUUGGCUGAAGAUGAGAUAACUGUUCAGAAGGCACAGGACUUUACAGGGUCACAGACACUGGAUGGUCUGGAUGUUCCAUCUCCAGCUUCUGUAAUUCUGUACAGCCUUCCCCAAAAGCCAACAUGAUGGAGCACAUCAAAAGAUGCAAUUCUCACAGACAUUUCUUGAGCUGAGAACUAUGAAAAGAAAGUUGUUCUCAUCCAUGAGCUGAAAUUGAGAGUACACACUAACCCAAAAGGAUAUCAGCUCAAAGAGCACUGUAUGAAAAUCUUAUAAAGCUCUGCAAACGCUCCAUAAAUAAUUUUCAAACAGGAAGCUUUUUGUUUCAGUGAUAACAAUACUAAAAAGGAAGAAUGGCAAAUAUCCAUGAAAAAAAAAAAAAAAGGCUGAAACAGUCUGCACCCUAUACUGAUGAUAGUUUUAAUCACUUCCAGAGUUACACGCACAAUUAUCAGUCAUUUAUUAAGAAACACAAAUGAUCAUUACAGAGGUAUAGAUUAAUAUAGGCUGAAGCCUGGUGUCGUGCCAGUGGUGCACCACAUGAUGGGCAGACCAUGGAAAAAAUAUUCCAGCAUGUCACUGUGCUAUAAAUUCUACAAAUGAAAGAAAUUAAAAAGCCAGGAGCAAUUUUGAAAAUGAUUUGUGAUUGGUGGUGCACUUAGGAGUUCUUUUAUUGUCACAGGAACAUCUCCUUUCACAUCCUUAAGGUGAAAAGCACCACUCUGCUUCGCUCUGAGGUUCUGGGGACAGCCUGUGACUGCGUGAGGUGUGGAGGCAAGCAGUGGGGCUUGUGCUGGAACACCCAAAAAUCAGGCCACGUUACUGAGAGUAUUGUCCAGGCACUUCUUGGACUUCACAAGCUCAGUGCCACAGUCACUUCCCUCGGAAGCCUGUGUCAAUGCCCAACCACUCUCUCAGUGAAGAACUUUUCCCUGAUAUCCAACCUGAAAGUGAAAGCUUGGAUAUCCAAGAAGGAUAGUUAAUCCUCCCCCAGGCCAAUGAUACUGAGCCACAGACACUAACCUACAUGAUACCUUGCUGUCUUCCUUGUUCCUCCUUUGGGCCUGCCUUCAGGCAUUUGGACUUGUGCUUUUCAUUUUUCUGGGAUGGCAUGAGGACUUCCCAUAGCAACGUGCCAUGUACGCACACCCAGCAAGGCUGGCUGGUUGGAUGUCUGCAGUUUUUUCUCCAGCAACAGGUAGACCUCAAGUCAAGAAGCCUAUGCCAUUGCCGCUGCUUGUGUCCACAACUGUAAUAAAGCUUUUAAAAAUAUA